CAUUCACGGAGAGUUUGAUCCUGGCUCAGGACGAACGCUGGCGGCGUGCUUAACACAUGCAAGUCGAACGAUGAAACCGCUUCGGUGGUGGAUUAGUGGCGAACGGGUGAGUAACACGUGGGCAAUCUGCCCUUCACUCUGGGACAAGCCCUGGAAACGGGGUCUAAUACCGGAUAACACUCUGUCCCGCAUGGGACGGGGUUAAAAGCUC
rnacentral:rRNA from 1 species